CUCAAUACACUUAUUCCAUUUGUCCUUCAAGCCUUUAAUACCACUUUUAUAGAAACCGCAGAUUGGCCUUCUGACCAUGCCUCUGUGGCAGCCUUUAUGUCCUCGUCAUCCUGGAAGUGUCUUCCACGUAGGGCAGAUUUCAUUUGCCGGAACAGGAAAUAGUCACUGGGGGCUAAGUCUUGGCUGUAGGGUGGUUGCAAAACUUAUUGAACGCCCCUCGUAAGUCAUUAGUCAUGGGUGAUGGAAAAACGCAGUGAAUGCAAGCCUGGGGAGAAUUGCGAUAAGUCUUCUUAUCACAAUCUGGACCCAGUUCUCAAACCAUUUACCUCUACAUACCGAACUAGAAUUUAAGACCCUUUGAACAAUCUUCCAAUCUGUAAUAUGAACAAAAAACACAAAACAAUACUGCAACACAUCCAUCGUACAAAUCUGUACCAGCUUCGAGUUUGUCUAUAUUG